UUUUAUUGGAAUGCGAAAGGGAUAGUAGCGGUUAUCCUUUUUUGCAUGGGCAAAAGCUUGGGCAAAAAAGAUAUUAGCGGAUAGCCCGACCCGCU
rnacentral:sRNA from 1 species